GUGUUGGGUAUAAAAUACCCCCCAGCUGAAGUUCGUGACAGGAGUGACCCUCCGGGGAUCCAACCGACUUCCGACCUCCGACGACAUCUCUCCGAGCCUCUCUGGCGGUCGAGCCUCUGCAACGCUCCCAAGUUUUGCCGACGGACAAACCCCCGCCAGCGUUGAUCGGAUUCUUCACGACAUCCAGACUCCUACGAGAGCAGGACUUCAUCCUUAACUCCGGCUGCAGGAAGACUCCGCCCGGACUCCUACGGGAGCCGGACUCCGCCCAC
rnacentral:lncRNA from 1 species